GAAGCACCGCUACUGUGCCGCAUCGGUCACGUAUCGAACUACUGGCGUAAGGGUGCGAGGCGGUGAGCAAUGUGAACCCGGUACCUGGAUGUCUCCUGAGUAGGCGAGGGGGUGAUUCCGUGUGAGGAAAUGCGUAUAUGAGGACACCAUGGCGAAGGCAACCCCUGGGGCUGACGCUCAUGCACAAAGCGGGGGAGCAAACAGGAUUAAUACCCUGGUAGUCCCGCCCUAACUGUCGACUAGUCGUCGGCUGUGACGUAACGCGUGAAGUGACGCCUGGGGGUACGGCGCAAGGUUAAAACUCAAAGGCACAAGAUUAUCGCGGAAAACUUACCUCCCUAUGUUGAGAGCCAAGGUCUGCAUGGCUUUCAGCUCGUGUCGUGAGAUGUGGGUUAAGUCCCCAACGACGCACCCUUGUAUUAGUUGCACGGACUCUAAGAGACUGCCGGU
rnacentral:rRNA from 1 species